UUGGAGCAAACAAUCUCCUGAGGUCCCUUCCAACCUGGGCUGUUCAUUGAUUCUCUGUAGUCAAAGGAAUAACCAGACUGUUUAGGGACUGGUGGAAAAUGUCUCAUAGCAUGUUUGUAGGAAGUGGGGAAAGCAUAAAACAGAUCAUGUCGUAACUGGAAUCUGUUUGCACUCUCUUCUUCAUGGCAAAGCAAGUCAGUCCUCUGUGGGCUUUCUAAACCAAAUGAGUUACGGCCUUGAACAGUAAUGUGGUAUUGCUAAUGAUUUUAUUGCUGACCACAGCUGCUGGCAGUAAGGCUAGCAUUGUCAUUUCAUUUCUGAUAUAGUUUUGAGGCGUUUUGCUUAUUAAAUUAGUGGACUCGUUUUACGUACUGUUCAAGAUAUAAUCUUGAAUUAACGAAUUUGGAUAGUGCAGGUUAAGGCCUAUAAGCUUAUGUUCCUUCUUGCUUGGUGCAGGUGAUGACACACAACGGGUUGUUAGAAGUAACUGUUGAGAUUACUUUUCUGUAUGAAUUUAGAGGCCUGAAAUUAAAAGAGUGUAAGUGCAAGAAGCCAUGGGGGGGCUUCUUAAUACCAUCUGCUUUGCCAAAAUACUCCCUGCAUGAAGCACAAAUCUGUUCCUUGGUACCACUCUUCCCAGGUUUUUGGCCCUAAUCUGAAUCGAACAAAGUAAAUACCUGAGUUAAGGAAUAAAGGUUGGAAAAUUUUGAGCCGUUUGAAGAUUUUUUGAGAUCUUGAUUUGCACCCCCACCUUCCCCAGCAGCUUUAUGUGCUUUGCAAUGCUUAAGAAGCAAUGUGGUUCAGACUAGGAGUGAAAUGCGGUCCAUCAUCUACUAAUGCACUGACAAAUUCAGGGUGAAGUUAAACUGUGGAAGACGGAUCGUCUCGAGUUAUGACAAGACCAGACUGGAAAUUCCUGCCCUGUUUUUAAAGGGGUGCCGCUCACAAAAAAAUGGCAGUGAACUACCAAACCAGAAAAUCAAAACUAAGCCAGCAUCUUUUCACUGUAUUUGAGUUCUGAGUUCCAUGGAAUCAUGGAGGAGUUAAUUCCUAUAAAUACUGGAAGAGGGUCUGAUCAGAGACAGAUGUGCUGGAUCAGAGAGCAGCUGUGGUGCUGUGUAGCAGUUAUGGACUGUGGGCUUUGGCUCCACUGGAGUGCUUGUGCUACAGAACCCUGUAUUCAGGAAGCAGGAACAGCAGGUUAGCUCUCUGGGGUGACUUGCACUGACUUCAGAGAUAUCUGUUGUACCUUGUGAUGCCUUCUGUGUAGUAGCUUCAUUAAAAUCUUUCCACUUUCCAACUGGUGUUUACAAUGCUCAGAAGACAAGAAGAGAGGGUAGGGAAUUACUGGCAAUAAUAAAGGCUAACUCAGUUGUAUUAAUGAA